rnacentral:rRNA from 1 species
ACGCUGGCGGCGUGCCUAAUACAUGCAAGUAGAACGCUGAAGAGAGGAGCUUGCUCUUCUUGAAUGAGUUGCGAACGGGUGAGUAACGCGUAGGUAACCUGCCUUGUAGCGGGGGAUAACUAUUGGAAACGAUAGCUAAUACCGCAUAACAAUGGGUGACACAUGUCAUUUAUUUGAAAGGGGCAAUUGCUCCACUACAAGAUGGACCUGCGUUGUAUUAGCUAGUAGGUGAGGUAACGGCUCACCUAGGCGACGAUACAUAGCCGACCUGAGAGGGUGAUCGGCCACACUGGGACUGAGACACGGCCCAGACUCCUACGGGAGGCAGCAGUAGGGAAUCUUCGGCAAUGGGGGCAACCCUGACCGAGCAACGCCGCGUGAGUGAAGAAGGUUUUCGGAUCGUAAAGCUCUGUUGUAAGUCAAGAAUGAGUGUGAGAGUGGAAAGUUCACACUGUGACGGUAGCUUACCAGAAAGGGACGGCUAACUACGUGCCAGCAGCCGCGGUAAUACGUAGGUCCCGAGCGUUGUCCGGAUUUAUUGGGCGUAAAGCGAGCGCAGGCGGUUUGAUAAGUCUGAGGUUAAAGGCUGUGGCUCAACCAUAGUUCGCUUUGGAAACUGUCAAACUUGAGUGCAGAAGGGGAGAGCGGAAUUCCAUGUGUAGCGGUGAAAUGCGUAGAUAUAUGGAGGAACACCGGUGGCGAAAGCGGCUCUCUGGUCUGUAACUGACGCUGAGGCUCGAAAGCGUGGGGAGCGAACAGGAUUAGAUACCCUGGUAGUCCACGCCGUAAACGAUGAGUGCUAGGUGUUGGAUCCUUUCCGGGAUUCAGUGCCGCAGCUAACGCAUUAAGCACUCCGCCUGGGGAGUACGACCGCAAGGUUGAAACUCAAAGGAAUUGACGGG